ACAAUGAGGCUCCCUGCUCAGCUCCUGGGGUUGCUAAUGCUCUGGAUCCCUGGAUCCAGUGGGGAUAUUGUGAUGACCCAGACUCCACUCUCCCUGCCCGUCACCCCUGGAGAGCCGGCCUCCAUCUCCUGCAGGUCUAGUCAGAGCCUCCUGCAUAGUGAUGGAAACACCUAUUUGUAUUGGUACCUGCAGAAGCCAGGCCCGUCUCCACAGCUCCUGAUUUAUAGGGUUUCCAACCGUUUUUCUGGGGUCCCAGACAGAUUCAGUGGCAGUGGGUCAGGCACUGAUUUCACACUGAAAAUCAGCAGGGUGGAGGCUGAGGAUGUUGGGGUUUAUUACUGCGCUCAAGCUCUAUAG